GAAUAUUGGUCAAUGGACGCAAGUCUGAACCAGCCAUGCCGCGUGAAGGAUGAAGGCCCUAUGGGUCGUAAACUUCUUUUAUUAGGGAAGAAAAAACGGGAUGCGUCCUGUACUGACGGUACUUAAUGAAUAAGGAUCGGCUAACUUCGUGCCAGCAGCCGCGGUAAGACGAAGGAUCCAAGCGUUGUCCGGAUUUACUGGGUUUAAAGGGUGCGUAGGCGGAAAAUUAAGUCAGUGGUGAAAGCCCGCAGCUCAACUGUGGAACUGCCAUUGAAACUGGUUUUCUUGAAUAUAGCUGAGGCAGAUGGAAUAUAACAUGUAGCGGUGAAAUGCUUAGAUAUGUUAUAGAACACCGAUUGCGAAGGCAGUCUGCUAAACUAUUAUUGACGCUGAGGCACGAAAGCGUGGGGAGCGAACAGGAUUAGAUACCCGGGUAGUC
rnacentral:rRNA from 1 species